UUAAGUUAUUAAGGGCGCACGGUGGAUGCCUUGGCACUAGAAGCCGAUGAAGGACGUUACUAACGACGAUAUGCUUUGGGGAGCUGUAAGUAAGCUUUGAUCCAGAGAUUUCCGAAUGGGGAAACCCAGCAUGAGUUAUGUCAUGUUAUCGAUAUGUGAAUACAUAGCAUAUCAGAAGGCACACCCGGAGAACUGAAACAUCUUAGUACCCGGAGGAAGAGAAAGAAAAUUCGAUUCCCUUAGUAGCGGCGAGCGAAACGGGAAGAGCCCAAACCAACAAGCUUGCUUGUUGGGGUUGUAGGACACUCUAUACGGAGUUACAAAGGACGACAUUAGACGAAUCAUCUGGAAAGAUGAAUCAAAGAAGGUAAUAAUCCUGUAGUCGAAAAUGUUGUCUCUCUUGAGUGGAUCCUGAGUACGACGGAGCACGUGAAAUUCCGUCGGAAUCUGGGAGGACCAUCUCCUAAGGCUAAAUACUCUCUAGUGACCGAUAGUGAACCAGUACCGUGAGGGAAAGGUGAAAAGCACCCCGGAAGGGGAGUGAAAUAGAACCUGAAACCGUGUGCUUACAAGUAGUCAGAGCCCGUUAAUGGGUGAUGGCGUGCCUUUUGUAGAAUGAACCGGCGAGUUACGAUUUGAUGCAAGGUUAAGCAGUAAAUGUGGAGCCGUAGCGAAAGCGAGUCUGAAUAGGGCGUUUAGUAUUUGGUCGUAGACCCGAAACCAGGUGAUCUACCCUUGGUCAGGUUGAAGUUCAGGUAACACUGAAUGGAGGACCGAACCGACUUACGUUGAAAAGUGAGCGGAUGAACUGAGGGUAGCGGAGAAAUUCCAAUCGAACCUGGAGAUAGCUGGUUCUCUCCGAAAUAGCUUUAGGGCUAGCCUCAAGUGAUGAUUAUUGGAGGUAGAGCACUGUUUGGACGAGGGGCCCCUCUCGGGUUACCGAAUUCAGACAAACUCCGAAUGCCAAUUAAUUUAACUUGGGAGUCAGAACAUGGGUGAUAAGGUCCGUGUUCGAAAGGGAAACAGCCCAGACCACCAGCUAAGGUCCCAAAAUAUAUGUUAAGUGGAAAAGGAUGUGGCGUUGCCCAGACAACUAGGAUGUUGGCUUAGAAGCAGCCAUCAUUUAAAGAGUGCGUAAUAGCUCACUAGUCGAGUGACACUGCGCCGAAAAUGUACCGGGGCUAAACAUAUUACCGAAGCUGUGGAUUGUCCUUUGGACAAUGGUAGGAGAGCGUUCUAAGGGCGUUGAAGCAUGAUCGUAAGGACAUGUGGAGCGCUUAGAAGUGAGAAUGCCGGUGUGAGUAGCGAAAGACGGGUGAGAAUCCCGUCCACCGAUUGACUAAGGUUUCCAGAGGAAGGCUCGUCCGCUCUGGGUUAGUCGGGUCCUAAGCUGAGGCCGACAGGCGUAGGCGAUGGAUAACAGGUUGAUAUUCCUGUACCACCUAUAAUCGUUUUAAUCGAUGGGGGGACGCAGUAGGAUAGGCGAAGCGUGCGAUUGGAUUGCACGUCUAAGCAGUAAGGCUGAGUAUUAGGCAAAUCCGGUACUCGUUAAGGCUGAGCUGUGAUGGGGAGAAGACAUUGAGUCUUCGAGUCGUUGAUUUCACACUGCCGAGAAAAGCCUCUAGAUAGAAAAUAGGUGCCCGUACCGCAAACCGACACAGGUAGUCAAGAUGAGAAUUCUAAGGUGAGCGAGCGAACUCUCGUUAAGGAACUCGGCAAAAUGACCCCGUAACUUCGGGAGAAGGGGUGCUCUUUAGGGUUAACGCCCAGAAGAGCCGCAGUGAAUAGGCCCAAGCGACUGUUUAUCAAAAACACAGGUCUCUGCUAAACCGUAAGGUGAUGUAUAGGGGCUGACGCCCGCCCGGUGCUGGAAGGUUAAGAGGAGUGGUUAGCUUCUGCGAAGCUACGAAUCGAAGCCCCAGUAAACGGCGGCCGUAACUAUAACGGUCCUAAGGUAGCGAAAUUCCUUGUCGGGUAAGUUCCGACCCGCACGAAAGGCGUAACGAUUUGGGCACUGUCUCAACGAGAGACUCGGUGAAAUCAUAGUACCUGUGAAGAUGCAGGUUACCCGCGACAGGACGGAAAGACCCCGUGGAGCUUUACUGUAGCCUGAUAUUGAAAUUCGGCACAGCUUGUACAGGAUAGGUAGGAGCCUUUGAAACGUGAGCGCUAGCUUACGUGGAGGCGCUGGUGGGAUACUACCCUAGCUGUGUUGGCUUUCUAACCCGCACCACUUAUCGUGGUGGGAGACAGUGUCAGGCGGGCAGUUUGACUGGGGCGGUCGCCUCCUAAAAGGUAACGGAGGCGCUCAAAGGUUCCCUCAGAAUGGUUGGAAAUCAUUCAUAGAGUGUAAAGGCAUAAGGGAGCUUGACUGCGAGACCUACAAGUCGAGCAGGGUCGAAAGACGGACUUAGUGAUCCGGUGGUUCCGCAUGGAAGGGCCAUCGCUCAACGGAUAAAAGCUACCCCGGGGAUAACAGGCUUAUCUCCCCCAAGAGUUCACAUCGACGGGGAGGUUUGGCACCUCGAUGUCGGCUCAUCGCAUCCUGGGGCUGUAGUCGGUCCCAAGGGUUGGGCUGUUCGCCCAUUAAAGCGGUACGCGAGCUGGGUUCAGAACGUCGUGAGACAGUUCGGUCCCUAUCCGUCGUGGGCGUAGGAAAUUUGAGAGGAGCUGUCCUUAGUACGAGAGGACCGGGAUGGACAUACCUCUGGUGUACCAGUUGUCGUGCCAACGGCAUAGCUGGGUAGCUAUGUGUGGACGGGAUAAGUGCUGAAAGCAUCUAAGCAUGAAGCCCCCCUCAAGAUGAGAUUUCCCAACUUCGGUUAUAAGAUCCCUCAAAGAUGAUGAGGUUAAUAGGUUCGAGGUGGAAGCAUGGUGACAUGUGGAGCUGACGAAUACUAAUCGAUCGAAGACUUAAUCAA
rnacentral:rRNA from 1 species